rnacentral:tRNA from 1 species
GGCUCUGUAGCAUAACUGGAUAGUGCACCUGACUACGGAUCAGGAGGUUCGGGGUUCGAAUCCCUGCAGAGUCACGA